rnacentral:rRNA from 1 species
GACGAACGCUGGCGGCGUGCCUAACACAUGCAAGUCGAACGGAGACUAACGCUGAAUUGAUGGUAGCUUGCUAUUGGAUUUUCUUGUUAGUCUUAGUGGCGGACGGGUGAGUAACACGUGAGCAACCUGCCUUUCAGAGGGGAAUAACGGCUGGAAACGGUCGCUAAUACCGCAUAAUGUCAUUUGGGGGCAUCCCUGGAUGACCAAAGAUUUAUUGCUGAAAGAUGGUCUCGCGUCUGAUUAGCUGGUUGGCGGGGUAAACGGCCCACCAAGGCGACGAUCAGUAGCCGGACUGAGAGGUUGGCCGGCCACAUUGGGACUGAGACACGGCCCAG